rnacentral:rRNA from 1 species
GCAGCGACGCCGCGUGGGGGAUGACGGCCUUCGGGUUGUAAACCCCUUUUCUAGAGGAAGAAAUCUGACGGUACUCUAGGAAUAAGUCUUGGCUAACUACGUGCCAGCAGCCGCGGUAAUACGUAGAAGGCGAACGUUAUCCGGAUUUACUGGGCGUAAAGCGGGUGUAGACGGUUUUCUAAGUCAGUCGUGAAAUCUCCCGACUCAAUCGGGAGACUGCAAUUGAUACUGGAGAGCUUGAGGGCAUCAGAAGAAAGCAGUAUUCACGGUGUAGCGGUGAAAUGCGUAGAUAUCGUGAGGAAUACCAGUGGCGCAAGCGGCUUUCUAGGAUGCUCCUGACGUUGAGGCCCGAAAGUGUGGGGAGCGAAACGGAUUAGAUACCCGUGUAGUCCACACCCUAAACGUUGAAUACUAGGUAUAGGGGGUAUCGACCCUCUCUGUGCCGAAGCUAACGCUUUAAGUAUUCCGCCUGGGGACUACGGUCACAAGGCUGAAACUCAAAGGAAUGGACGGA